GCAGCCGCCACGGUAAUACGUGGGUCCCGAGCGUUGUCGGGAUUUAUUGGGCGUAAAGCGAGCGCAGGCGGUUAGAUAAGUCUGAAGUUAAAGGCUGUGGCUUAACCAUAGUACGCUUUGGAAACUGUUUAACUUGAGUGCAAGAGGGGAGAGUGGAAUUCCAUGUGUAGCGGUGAAAUGCGUAGAUAUAUGGAGGAACACCGGUGGCGAAAGCGGCUCUCUGGCCUGUAACUGACGCUGAGGCUCGAAAGCGUGGGGAGCAAACAGGAUUAGAUACCCCAGUAGUCCCUGUCUCUUAUACA
rnacentral:rRNA from 1 species